AAAACACCUCUUAUAUUAUAUAGAUUAAAGUUUCCUGUGUGAAUUAUUCAUAACAUAUCUUUUCACUAUGGGCUAACGUUUUGUAAUUAUUUUAUUUUAUGCUAAUAAUUAGAGAAUCUAUUUUAAUGAUCUAAGUAUCAGAUCUGUUGGUGUCAUUCGAUGAUAAGAGCUCAUUGUCUUUGAACAAACGCACUGCAGUAAAACAAACAAACAAACAAAAAAUUCGAUUGCUCCGACAGUAGUAAAAUCGAAAUUUCCACACAGCACAGAGCUUUCAUCUGCAGAAAAGACGACUAACCUCUGCACCAUAUCUGCUUUCUGUCGUAGGAGGAACAACUUGUUUUUUAAAUGAGCCUGGAGUCAAGUCAGCACCAGAGCCGGCCGCUUACUUCUGCUCUGAUGACAGCACAGAUCGAAGCACAGAAUAGAUUCAGGUGCUGUGUGUGUGUGGACAUAACAGGAGGAUUGUGGGUAGCCCCCGAGGGAGCAACGGCUUGACAAAUAUUUGAAGUGCCGCCGUGCUCUGUUUAUUCUGUUGCCUUCAGCUUCAGUUUGUGUAGGCUGCUGUUGAACAAUGCUUUACAAAGUCAAAAAGGAAAGAAAUUAGAAUCAGAAAAGAAGCCAGUUUGUACAACAGUGUGUAGAUUUACUCAUCCAACAAUGCUCUUUAGCAGCAGCUCCAGGGGAAAAUGAUAGGCCUGUCAAAUAGUACAAUUUAUAAUCUGGUCUGACAUGAGAUGUCAGUUUAGGCUCUAGAUUCUAUGAUUAACAAAUGUGUAUGGACUGAGUGUUGGAGCUGUGUUUGACGGCUACAUUUUUAUAACAGAAUUACGUGGGAAGUUUAACUGCCUUUGUCAAAAUAUUCAACACUUAGUGUAGUAGUGUAACAAUUCUCCAUCUCUCCAUUAUUAGUUUCCGCAAAAGAUUAAAAAGAAUCACAAUCCUUAAAAAUUUUUAUUACAUAUAUUUGCAUUACAUAUAACUGAUUCAAUUUUGGUUUUAUCAAAUCCACACAAAAUAUACAAAUGACAACAGUGUGUUCCACCUCUGCAAUUUUGCAGAAGAGGUGGAGAACAGAGAGUCAAUAAAAACUGUGAGUUUUUGUCCAGACAAUCACAGUGUUUUUGUUUUGUUUUUUUUUUAAUUCAGGAGACUCGUUUUUCCCACUUGAUUAUCUGCUAUGAAACACAUCGCAUGUCAAUGCAUCACUCUGAGUCAUCAGUCUUGAUUGAAG